rnacentral:lncRNA from 1 species
GGACAGAUAAGGGAAUAAAAGCAGGCUGCCCAGGGCCAGCAGUGGUAACUUGCUGGGUUCCUUUCCCAGCAGUGUGGAAGCUUUGUUCUUUUGCUCUUUGCGCUAAAUCUUGCUGCUGCUCACUCUGGUCUUUGGGUCAGUACUGCCUUUAUGAGCUGUAAUACUUACUGCUAAGGUCUGUAGCUUCACUUCUGAGCCAGCAAGACCAUGAACCCACCAGAAGGAGGAAACUCGGAACACAUCCAAACAUCAGAAGGAACAAACUCCAGACGCACUGCCUCUGUCCCUGAUGAAGUUGCCUGGGCACACCAGAGUGUGGGAGAGUGGACGGCGCGGCCCCUCCUGCACUUGGAGCUGCUCUCAGAUCUUGGGCUGUGACCCCUGUGGGUGACACGAAGUUCAGUGAUUGUCCUCCUUCUGGACUGAGGGACAUCCAUCCACACGCGCCCCCUCCACAGCCCGAUCCCAUCACGUCCUGCUCGUCCAACAUGGGCCUUAGAUCCUGGGGUCUCUGCUGAGUGCCUCCCCUCUGAACGCCCGGCUGGCACUUUCACGGUGAAGCCAGCUGUCAUGGACACCGACGGCAGGUGGCCUUUCUGCGUUGUCUACCGGCUGAUCUUGAAAGUGAAAACGGACAUUGUCUGCCCUGUGGUGACCGUGUUGGGUGAUGGUCCUGGGGUCAGGCCCUGCAUGCACCUUCACCCAGGGAUGGCUUCUUAGCUGACAGCGGCUCUGCCAGGAACCACGAUCACCCUCCAGUUUGCUCUUUGUGCUGAAUUUUAUUGACAUGAAAUUCGCAUGACGCCAACUUUAUCGUUUUAAAGUGAAUGGUUAAACAGAAUGCGGCACUUUCACAGGGCGGCAUGACCCCCACCUCUGUCUGCCUUCAGAACAUUUUCAUCCCCCACGAAAGGAGGAAGCGCAGUCCCCAGGAACAGUUACUCCUCAUUUCCCCUCCCCAGCUCUGGCUUCCGCAACCACGAAUCUGCUUUCUGUCUCCGUGAAUUUGCCUCUUUCGGAUAUAUUUCACGUAAAUGGAGUCCCGUGAUAGAUGAGCUGUGUCUGCCUCUUGCGGGCAGCACAGUGUCUGGAAGGUUCUCCGUGCAGCCGCAGGGGUUGGCGCUUCCUUCCUCCCGAGGCUGACCCGGCCCCGUCGUACGGGGAGUCCACUGUGUGUCUGUCUUUUGGCUGCUGUGAGCCUGGGUGUGCCGCCUGCUCCAGCCCAUGUUUUCAGCUCUUUCAGGUGUGGAGGGAGGAGUGGAAUUGUGGGAUCAUAUUGUAACUUUAACUUUGGAAGGAUCUGCCAAAUUACCCCUCUAAUUUGUUUUCAAUUUUAUUCUUAUUUCCCUGUCACUUGUUCUUUCUUUUGACUGGUUAAAAAAAAUGGCAAAGGUCUUCAGCAAAACAAGAAGUGAGUUUCAAUUGAACCGUGAAUUAAAUAUGAUACACUCAAAAUCUGACCAAUAAUACAUUUUAAUUUUCCCCACACAUUUACGUCCACGUUAAUUUCAUGGAAAUCAAGAUGCUUUUGCCUCUGUUCUAAAGUAUUUAUUUUUUUUAAGACAGGUUCUUACUCUGUUGCCCAGGCUGGAGUGCAAUGGCGCGAUCUCAGCUCACUGCAGUCUUGACCUCCCAGGCUCAAGCAAUCCUCCUGCCUCAGCCUCCUGAGUAGCUGGGACCACAGGUGUGCAUCACCAUGCCUGGCUAAUUUGUUACAUUUUUAGUAGAGACGGGGUUUCACCAUGUUGGCCAGGCUGGUCUGGAACUCCUGACCUGAAGCGAUCCUCCCACCUCAGCCUCCCACAGUGCUGGGAUUACAGGCGUGAGCCACCACGUGCAGCCUGAAAGUAUUUUUUUUUAGAGUUUCCUAAAAGUUUCAUCAUCCCUUUUGUUUUCCUAACAAGCUGUGAAACCCAGUGGGUUUUAAUUGUGAAUCAGCACCAAAACACAUGCAGAUUUAAUUUUUAAUUGAAAUGAUGGACAAUAAACAGAAUUAAUAACUCAAAUGCUUGAAGUCUGUCAAGCAUGGUGCUUUGUCUUUGCCAUGGACAUGAAAAAGCAGCAUUCCCCUCCGGACUUGAGGCUGGGGACCUUCUGAGUCAGAGCAGCCCCUCCCUCCCCACCUCCACGGCUGUUUCCACUUUGCCAUCUCCCCAGCGGGCUCUGCCCGUCCACCUGUGAGACACUCUGACUCCACGGCUUGGCUUCUGCUUGCCCCAGGCAGUGGGAUUCGGUGGCCAGGCCCUCAUUUGUUUCCCCCUCCUCCUUUCCCCAGCAGCUCCUGGCCUGGCAUGCAGCAGGUGCUCUGCUGGGCGAGUGGGAGGAGGGAGCAUAGCCACCGCUGCAGGUGGUCUGUUUGGUGCUGGGAGACGUCAUGCGUGUGUUGUCAGGCACUGGAACCCCCUGGGAGGGUGCAGGGCAGGUUUAGGACAGCCACGUGUGCCCAGAUCUAUGAGACCUUUGUGGGCUCGACUGAGUUGGGGGCUGGGCACAGAGCUUGGAGACCUCUUACUGGGAGCUGUGUGAGUGGCAGGGCCAAGGCUGUGGGGGCUGCAGGAGCUGGUGAGGAGGCAUGUGCUCGGCCGUCAUGGGACUGUCCCUGGGACUCCUGCAGCUGGGGUAGGCUCCAGGCAGGGCUCUGAGCUGCCCCCACACACCUCCAUGCAACCCCAGCUCCAUGUGCUGCUGGAAAGUCCCUGAGUACCAGGGGGGCACCUGGGGAGGGGCCUGAGUCCUGCAGACAGACCUGGGAUGGGGGUGUCAUCCACAGGUGAGGAGUGGUCCGUGCCAGGGACAGGCAGAGCCGCCAGCAUGGGCCCUGCUGGGAUCUCCGAUUGGGAAAACCAUCCCGCCACGGGAGGUGGCCAAGGUGCGUCCCCCAGCCUAUGCAUUGGGGUCCUGGUUCCAUCCCCGCCUCUCCUGUGGGCCGCACUCAGUGCCUUUUCCAUGUAACCCGUGCCGUGUGCGGUGCUCAGAGGAGGAGCGAUCGUCAUGGGGAGCUGCAGUGCCUUUUCCAUGUAACCCGCGCCGUGUGCGGGGCUCCGAGGAGGAGAGGACGUCACGGGGAGCUGCGGUGCCUUUUCCAUGUAACCCGCGCCGUGUGCGGGGCUCGGAGGAGGAGCGGUCAUCACGGGGAGCUGCAGCGCGUCUGGUGAUGUGGGGCUCACAGGCUCCUAAUGAGGCUCUCAGUCUUGUUUAUUGCGUUCUUGCUGGAAGAUUUUUUUUCUGAAACGUAGGCACAGAAUGAACUUGAAAUAUUGAGCUCUGCUUGAAAUAAAAAUGUCUUGAUAAUUAGAACCUUUGCCUGAACAGAUUCCUGUGGGGCUGCGCUGUGCAGGCUGGUUACGGGUGGGGCUCUGCUGCCCACCGAGUCAUUGCUCAAAGGCAAACGGGUCAAGCCACCGAG